rnacentral:rRNA from 1 species
CGCAGCUAACGCGAUAAGUCGACCGCCUGGGGAGUACGGCCGCAAGGUUAAAACUCAAAUGAAUUGACGGGGGCCCGCACAAGCGGUGGAGCAUGUGGUUUAAUUCGAAGCAACGCGAAGAACCUUACCUGGCCUUGACAUGCUGAGAACUUUCCAGAGAUGGAUUGGUGCCUUCGGGAACUCAGACACAGGUGCUGCAUGGCUGUCGUCAGCUCGUGUCGUG